rnacentral:sRNA from 1 species
UUGAAAGCCCUGGCACCUGAAAUCCUUUAUUUUUCCACUGAACAGGAACAGUUUGGGUAGCUUCCCUAUGCUGCCCCCUCCAAUAUGCCCCAUCCCUGACCUGGAGGGACCACUUACAGGGUUGAGAACCUCCGCAGCCUCAGGGGUAAUUAGACUAUAACUGCA